rnacentral:rRNA from 1 species
UACGUAGGGGGCAAGCGUUGUCCGGAUUUAUUGGGCGUAAAGAGCGUGUAGGCGGCCAAACAGGUCCACUGUGAAACUCGAGGCUCAACCUCGAGAGGUCGGUGGAAACCGUCUGGCUAGAGUCCGGAAGAGGAGAGUGGAAUUCCUGGUGUAGCGGUGAAAUGCGCAGAUAUCAGGAAGAACACCCGUGGCGAAGGCGGCUCUCUGGGACGGUACUGACGCUGAGACGCGAAAGCGUGGGGAGCGAACAGG